rnacentral:rRNA from 1 species
AUACGGAGGGUGCAAGCGUUAUCCGGAAUCAUUGGGUUUAAAGGGUCCGUAGGCGGACUAUUAAGUCAGAGGUGAAAUCCCACAGCUCAACUGUGGAACCGCCUUUGAUACUGGUAGUCUUGAGUUAUAUGGAAGUAGAUAGAAUGUGUAGUGUAGCGGUGAAAUGCAUAGAUAUUACACAGAAUACCGAUUGCGAAGGCAGUCUACUACGUAUAUACUGACGCUAAGGGACGAAAGCGUGGGGAGCGAACAGGAUUAGAAACCCUAGUAGUCC